rnacentral:rRNA from 1 species
AUUGAACGCUGGCGGCAGGCCUAACACAUGCAAGUCGAGCGGAUGAAGGGAGCUUGCUCCUGGAUUCAGCGUCGGACGGGUGAGUAAUGCCUAGGAAUCUGCCUGGUAGUGGUGGAUAACGUCCUGAAACGGGCGCUAAUACCGCCUACGUCCUGAGGGUGAAAGUUGGGGAUCUUCGGACCUCACGCUAUCAGAUGAGCCUAGGUGGGGUUAGCUAGUUGGUGGGGUAAGGGCCUACCAAGCCGACGAUCCGUAACUGGUCUGAGAGGAUGAUCAGUCACACUGGAACUGAGACACGGACCAGACGCCUAAGGGAGGCAGCAGUGGGGAAUAGGGGACAAUGGGAGAAAGUAUGAUACAGCCAGGCCGAGUGUGUGAAGAAGGUCUUCGGAUUGUAAAGCACGUUAAGUGGGGAGGAAGGGCAGUAAGUUAAUACCUUGCUGGUGUGACGUUAACAACAGAAUAAGCACCGGCUAACUACGUG